rnacentral:rRNA from 1 species
UACAGAGGGUGCAAGCGUUAAUCGGAAUUACUGGGCGUAAAGCGUGCGUAGACGGUCAUGUAAGUCGGGUGUGAAAGCCCCGGGCUCAACCUGGGAAUUGCAUUCGAGACUGCAUGGCUAGGAUGCGGAAGAGGGAAGCGGAAUUUCCGGUGUAGCGGUGAAAUGCGUAGAUAUCGGAAGGAACACCAGUGGCGAAGGCGGCGAUCUGGGAAGAUAUUGACGCUGAGGUGCGAAAGCGUGGGGAGCAAACAGG